AAAAUAAGGGAUUUCUGAAUCCCGAAUAAGGGAUUUCGUUACAACUGGAGAGGAGGAAACUGGGGCCCAAGAAGAGUGGUGACACAAAUAUACAAAGAAAAGAC
rnacentral:lncRNA from 1 species